GGUAAGUAAUUGCUACGGCGUUAUUUCCCGACCAUAUGGUCAGCCAUUUUUAUCCCCCUUCGGGGAACACACUUAUAGGUUCGGUAGAACACUUAGUCAUUAAUUUAAAAGGUGGUGCCGGC
ncrna:unclassified sequences RT-10 RNA